rnacentral:misc_RNA from 1 species
GAUGAAGAACGUAGCGAAAUGCGAUACGUAAUGUGAAUUGCAGAAUUCAGUGAAUCAUCGAAUCUUUGAACGCAUAUUGCGCUCUCUGGUAUUCCGGAGAACAUGCUUGUUUGAGUAUCACUAAACACCUCAACUUCCAUAUCUUUUUUGAAAUGGGAGUUGGACUUGAGUGAUCCCAACGCUUUUCCUCACCGAAAAGUGGCGGGUUACUUGAAAUGCAGGUGCAGCUGGACUUUUCUCUGAGCUAUAAGCAUAUCUAUUUAGUCUGCCUAAAAAACAGAUUAUUACCUUUGCUGCAGCUAACAUAAAGGAGAUUAGUUCUUGUGCUGACUGAUGCAGGAUUCACAAAGACAGGCUUCGGCCGACUUUGUAAACUCGAUCUCAAAUCAAGUAAGACUACCCGCUGAACUUAAGCAUAUCAAUAAGCGGAGGA